rnacentral:rRNA from 1 species
GGGAGGUAGUGACAAUAAAUAACAAUAUGGGGCUCUUACGGGUCUCGUAAUUGGAAUGAGUACAAUUUAAAUCUCUUAACGAGGAACAAUUGGAGGGCAAGUCUGGUGCCAGCAGCCGCGGUAAUUCCAGCUCCAAUAGCGUAUAUUAAAGUUGUUGCAGUUAAAAAGCUCGUAGUUGAAUUUCGGAGUUUGUCGGUUGGUCGGGCUUCACUGUCCGCACUGGCCUGAUGAAUUCCUACCUUCUGAAUAACCAGCAUGCUAUUAAGUUAGUGCGUUGGGGAAGCAGAGCUAUUACCUUGAAAAAAUUAGAGUGCUUAAAGCAGGCUUAUGCUUGAAUAGAUUAGCAUGGAAUAAUAAAAUAGGACGGCAUGGUUCUAUUUUGUUGGUUUCUAGGAUCACCGUAAUGAUUAAUAGGGAUAGUUGGG